rnacentral:rRNA from 1 species
UCUAUCGGUAAAGACAGUUAGGCAAAAAAGAAUCGUCAGAUCUUUAGUACAGGGGUAAAAUCUAAAUACUAAAAGUUAUUUCUAACACGGUUUAUUUUAAAAGCUGAAUCUGUGACAACUUUAAGGGAAACUGGGAUUGGAUACCCCAUUAUUUUUAGUAAUAAAUUUGAUUUAAAUAUACCAGAGUACUACGAAUAAAAAGUUUAAAACUCAAAGAGCUUGGCGGUGUUUUAGACCUCUCAGGGGAACCUGUCUCAUAAUCGACAAUCCGCGCUAGACCCGACCCUCUAUAGCAAUUCAGCCUGUAUACCGUCGUCGUCAGGUAACUUCCUAAAAUAUAGUAGUUAGCUUGAGAAUUUUAUUAAUUAAUACGUCAGAUCAAGGUGCAGCUUAUAAGGGGGAGAGGAUGGGUUACAAUUAUAGAUUUAUAAUUACGGAAGACGCUCAAAACAGAGCAUCCAAAGGAGGACUUGAAAGUAAUUCUAACUAUAUAAAUAGAAUGAAUAAGGCUCUGAAACGUG